CCCCUCGCCCGCCCUCUUGCUGCUGUAGCCGCGCCGGAGAACCGCCGUGCGCCACGCCCCGCCGCGCCGUCCGGAGAACCGCAGCGCGCCGUGCCUCCCUCCCGCGCCACGCCCCGCCGCGCCGUCCGGACCCGCGCCGCCGCGCCGGCCACCGCCUCGACCGCCGGGACCGCCGCGCCCGACCGGGCCGCCGCGCCUCCCGCGCGCCAGCGGCCCCUCGCCGCGCCGUCCGCACCAGCUUUGGCAGUCUUCCAACCCUUUGUCAAUCUUCCAGCUUUGGCCGUCCGCGCCAGGAGGAUCUUUGGCUGUCGGCUUUUCCUAUAGGGACAGAGUGGGAAAAUAUUGAUAAGAUUAAGGAGUUCAACUGGAACUUUGAAAAUUUAGAGAAAGCUCUAGAAGAAGGGGGGGAAGCUGUAUGGGAAUACGGUCUAUGUAUUUGGCAGCACUGAGCCUCAACUGUUGAAUGUUGAUGGUGAAUCAAAGAUAGUGCUUAUUCCAGUUGUAGUUGCGGUCAGUUUCCUUCCAUUCCUUUUACCUGAUAAUUUAUCUCCUCAUUUUCUUUGGUAUUCUAUUUUAUAUGCAAAUUCGUCGAUGCGAGACUUGGACCAUGAAUUUCCUUCAGUUGCUUAUUUUGUAGUAGUAUACUCCUUUGUGACAAUCAAGAAUAUGCUAGCCGUAUUGCCAGCAUUAUAUGUAUAUACUCCAUAUGGUAGUAUAUACUCUGAGAAUUGGUGUAUAUACCUUAUUUGUAAAAUAGUAUGUAUAUACUUCUUGCUAACUACUCUGUAUUAUCAUGGUGGGUUAAAUAGUUUUUGGUCUUCUAACUCUCUAGGAUAAUUAGCAUCUUUGUGAGCCUUUUUCAGAUUAAAAUAACCUAUUGAUUUGAUCAAUAGAAUAGAUCUCUCUUUUUAAAUAGUGGUAGUUUCUCCAAAGUUCUACUAAUUUAAUUCAUUAUUUUGGUAUCCAGAUCCAAUAGCCUUGCUGUUUAUAUCUUCUUCUAAUAAAUCAAUUUACAGUGCCACAGUUAAAUAAGAUGCAAAUUCAUGUAUUGCUCGAAUUUCAAUCCUGCACUUUAUCUAUGUUGCUUGCUCUGAACUCUGUAAAAGGUACAUUGCACAUGCUGUUCACCUCUUUCUGUACUUUGUUGGUUCUUCUUAACAUUUGUGUUUUUCCUAUAAGAUGGCGAAGAGUAAUCCAGACAAAGUUCCACGAACGACUACGCAUCGUUCCCCAUUUACAGACAUAACGAACUCGUCUACCAUUGAUAACGCAAAUGUCACUACUAAUAGCCAGGGACUAUUUUGAAUAUUUACAUGUAAAGUAUCCAUCCUUUUUUCUGUAUACCUUUCGUGUUUUUUCUUCUAACAUCAGCACUUCAGCAGAAGAUGUCGUAAACCGUGUAAUGUGGCAACACCAAGAAGGCCACCAUCAAGGCGAAGCUGCAAACAUGCAGAGCAGCAGAGGCUUAGAGGAAGGCGCUGCAGCGUGGAUGCACAUGGGAUGUUGCAGGUUAAAGUCCUUUUAGUUUGUUGAUAAUUUCUCUGAUGUAGAUUGGAAGUUAUAUAUUAAGAAAUAGAUUUUAAUGUGUAUAUGGUGUGGAUUCCAAAACUAAUCUGCCUGUACUGAAAAGUUCCCUUGUACUAGAAUUUUCCUGAAGCUAAUGGAAUUACCUUGUGCUUGCAUGAUGACUAUUUUUUCAAGAUACAUGUAACAAAGAGGAGGAGCUCAGGGAGCUGAGUGUGAAAGGAUAAAGGAGUCAGGAAGGAGAAAUCAUAUGUUGGCUUAAUUAAUGCUUCCUAAUCAGAACAUGAACCUGAUGAUGACCCAUAGGUGGAUGUCUGUGAGAGGUACAUGUGUUAGCUCAUAAGCGUAUGAGAAUACAAUCAUGAUGUGUAUAAUUAUUCAGUUAUACUUUUUAUCCAUGCCUCAACAAUCGACCAAAUUAAACGACAGGAUGAACAUUCAGACUUUAUUGAUGACAGGGAUUCUAGGAAGACCAUUACAUACUCGACCAGCCCACCUGUCAUCGCAAGACAAGCUAAAAGUAAAGCAACAUAAAAAUUGUUAGCCUUCCCAAAGGCGAAUUUCUGCACAACAUUCUGGGAAUUCACCUAUUUGUAUCCGUACAUUUUCACCUUGACUAUAAGUGGAAAGGUUUGCUAUAUUUAUUUAACUAUCAUUCUGCCGUCGCUGACCAUCAUUAUUCGGCCGUAAUCCCGGCGUCCUCCUAGCAUCACCCUGCUGUGCCCCUGGCCAAUUGCCUAGAGAUGCCAUCCAAGCGCGUGUGGCUGCAAAAGUGCUUCAUAUGAUGAAAGAUGGUAUCAUUGACCCAGUGAAAAUGAUCCAAACUGUACUUCAAGGUGCAGCAAGGUACAACUUCAGUUCUCUAACCAUGUACUUUAUGUAUGACCAUGACAGAAGUAAUCAGAGUUGUUUGACUAUUUGUGCUUCUGUAGUUCUGUACAAUGUUUAUCCGCUGAUCACAACCAUAGAGGUUGCAGAUGAGCAAAAUGGGUUUUGAGGACAGUGCGGCAUUGUGUUUGCACUUGUUUUGAUAGAAUGGAAUGCAUGUCUCAUAUGACCAGUUCUAAGAAAUACAAGCAUAGUUUGAGGUAAACUAGCCAGAAAACUAAGGUUACUUUUAAGUAAGGAUAGGGCCAUGGAUUACAUGAUUGCUUUUCAAAACACAACAUCAGAUGUAGUUGAGCACACCGCUUCGGUUGGUGGAAGUUUGAACUUCGUAUUCAUAUUAAUCCAUGUAUAAGUUUACUGACGGUAAUUGUUUCAUCUGAUGGUACUGCUAUUGUGUCACAAAGAACAAGUACUCUGAUGAUGCCUCACAAAGAAAAAGUUCUUACGACAAUAAACUGAUGUUGACUAUUGUUGGGGGAGGUGAGGAUGCCGAUGAAAAGAGAAGAGUUUGUCUUCUGUCCGAUAGGAUUUGGUUGUAAAUCUUUGUUCAUUACUUCAGGUGUGCAUUGAGCGUACAUGAUCUGCUCAAAAAAACAAAUUGAUUGGCAAGUUUUGAUUAUAUCUAAAGAAGGACAUGGGCAAUGCUCGAUUGGCAAGUUUGGAUUAUAUCUAAAGAUCGACAUGGACAAUGCUCGAUUGACAAAUUUUGAUUUUUUUUUCUUGCUAGAAAUGAUACCAACACAAGUGCUUAGCAUGAUAAAUAUGUUCGCCUAUAUUCUGAGUGGAAGUUAGAUGGAUUUUUUGGGUACAUUAGUCGACCUCUCAGUUGAUAUUUUAUAUUACUAGUUAAUUGUCUGCAACGGGGCCAUAAAUAUUUGUACACGCACAAUUUUUAUUUGAGAGCCGCAUAUGUUCUUUUGUUGAUUCUAUUUAAAUAUAAAUAUUUCUUUA